rnacentral:rRNA from 1 species
UAAGGAAUAUUGGUCAAUGGAGGCAACUCUGAACCAGCCAUGCCGCGUGCAGGAAGAAGGCCCUAUGGGUCGUAAACUGCUUUUUGAACAAGAGAAAACCCCGGUACGUGUACUGGGUUGAUAGUAUUGUUAGAAUAAGCAUCGGCUAACUUCGUGCCAGCAGCCGCGGUAAGACGAAGGAUGCAAGCGUUAUCCGGAUUCAUUGGGUUUAAAGGGUGCGUAGGCGGACUGAUAAGUCAGUGGUGAAAUUUCUCGGCUUAACCGAGAAACUGCCAUUGAUACUGUUAGUCUAGAGUACAGAUGAUGUGGGCGGAAUAUGACAUGUAGUGGUGAAAUACUUAGAUAUGUCAUAGAACACCGAUUGCGAAGGCAGCUCACAAAACUGUAACUGACGCUGAGGCACGAAAGUGCGGGGAUCAAACAGGAUUAGAUACCCCGGUAGUCCCUGAGCGGGCUGGCAAGGCGCAU